GAUGAACGCUAGCUACAGGCUUAACACAUGCAAGUCGAGGGGAUACGACAUCGAAAGCUUGCUUUUGAUGGGCGUCGACCGGCGCACGGGUGAGUAACGCGUAUCCAACCUGCCCACCACUUGGGGAUAACCUUGCGAAGGUAAGACUAAUACACAAUGACGUCCCUAGAAGACAUCUGAAGGAGAUUAAAGAUUUAUCGGUGAUGGAUGGGGAUGCGUCGGAUUAGCUUGUUGGCGGGGUAACGGCCCACCAAGGCGAAGAUGAGUAGGGGUUCUGAGAGGAAGGUCCCCCACAUUGGAACUGAGACACGGUCCAAACUCCUACGGGAGGCAGCAGUGAGGAAUAGUGGUCAAUGGGCGAGAGCCUGAACCAGCCAAGUAGCGUGCAGGAUGACGGCCCGAUGGGUUGUAAACUGCUUUUAUAAGGGAAUAAAGUGAGUCUCGUGAGACUUUUUGCAUGUACCUUAUGAAUAAGGACCGGCUAAUUCCGUGCCAGCCGCCGCAGUAA
rnacentral:rRNA from 1 species